rnacentral:misc_RNA from 1 species
CUGAAAAACUACUUGAGUUUUUGGUUGCAUCCUAUUGUUUAAUUCACCCUAUUGCUUCCACAGCAAUAAGCUCCCCAUCUGUUGUGUGUGGGACCUUUUGAUCAUAUAUGCCAUCAAGUGGGAGGACCAUUUAUAAAAAUUCGUUGAGAACCACUUUGUCUGAAAAUUUUGCUUCAACAUAAUA